GCCACAGUGGUGGAACUGGUAGACACGCGGUGAAAUCCCGCCGUCCGAAAGGCUUGGAGGUUCGAGCCCUUCUUGCGGCU
rnacentral:tRNA from 1 species